CAGUGAAAAAUUAAACGGCCGCGGUAUCCUAACCGUGCAAAGGUAGCAUAAUCAUUUGUCUAUUAAUUGUAGACCUGUAUGAAAGGCAAAAUGAGAGCCCAACUGUCUCUUAUAACAAAUCAAUUAAACUGAUCUCCUAGUACAAAAGCUAGAAUAUAACCAUAGGACCAGAAGACCCUGUGAAGCUUUAACUAACCUAUUAAACCUAAUAAUAACUACUUUCGGUUGGGGCGACCUUGGAAUAAAAAAGAACUUCCAACUAUAUGACUCCCUCAUAAGACUAGGCAAACAAGCCAAUAUUAGACCCAGCACAGCUGACAAUUGAAAUAAGUUACUCCAGGGAUAACAGCGCUAUCUUCUUUAAGAGCCCAUAUCAAAAAGAAGGUUUACGACCUCGAUGUUGGAUCAGGACAUCCCAGUAAUGCAACCGUUACUAAAGGUUCGUUUGUUCAACGAUUAACAGUCCUACGUGAU
rnacentral:rRNA from 1 species